ensembl:lncRNA
CGGGACGUUAUUGCAUGUGAUAGUCAGCAUUUAAAUGAAGUUUAUCAUGAAUAAAUAAUAAAUAGAAUGAAUAAUUGUUAUGAAUGAAUAAAUAGAUUCAUUUGUAAAUGAAAACACAACAUGCUCAUUUAUCAUCACAUCACGUCAAAACUUUAUUGGCAUAAUUGUCAGAUAAAUGAUAAAUGAGCCUGUUGUGUAUUCAUUUACAAAUUAAACUAGUUAUAGCCCCUUCAAGCACCACAGCCGUCACUGGCACGUAAUAAAGUCCGGUAGCCAAGGCAUAUGGUUAAUAUGAUAAUUUAAUAAUGAAAUAUUUUCUAUAAUAAUUUAAUAUUUUCUUAAUUCAAAAUAAAAUAUUAUAAUGAAUACAUCUCUGAUAAUCUCGGGUUGCUAUGGUCACGCAGGUUUGUUUACGCAUUAAACUCGUGGCCACGAGAAAAAUAUGUCGUUCCCUCAACAUAAGAAGUCGUGGCCACAAGAAAUGGAUGUCGUUCCCUCAACAUAACAUCUCGAGUCCACGACAUAAGGAUGUCGUUACCUCUACAAAAUGAUCUCGUGGCCACGACAUAAUAAGACGUUCCCACGAAUUAAUAUUUCGUGGCCACGACAUAUUAUCACGUUCCCACGAGUUAUUAUGUCGUGGCCACGACAAAACUAAGUGAACCGACCAUGUCCUCUCACAGGCACCGUAGUUUUGUAUUGCAUUCGAUGGGCUCUUUGUUUCAUAAUAACUCACUGUAUUUCACAAAUUUCUUUACCUGCUUUUUGCACAAGUUACAUUGGAAAAUCGUUGAAGGUUUACGUGACUUCCAUGGAUCAGGACGAUCUUUUGACAUUUUUAAGGGAACGCAACAUCGAAGAGGCAAACAUAGCCAGAAUUGAACAAGACAAGAUUGAUGCAUCUGUAAUACCCUUGAUGCCAGAGACAGAGCUAGCCAAGUAUAUUCCUUGUUAUGGAGACAGAGUGGCAACUGUGGCCUUUUGUCGAAGAAAACAGUGUUCCAUUGAAAAUACUGACAGGAAAAGUAACUUGUUUGAAAGAUUAAGGAAAUGAGUAUGUACCCCAAGUGGCAAAGAAGAACAUUGACAACAGAUUUCAAAAAAAUAUGCUGGAAACACAAAUGCCAAGAAGAAAUCCA